UUUCCGUAGGUGAACCUGCGGAAGGAUCAUUAAAAAAUGUGGUACCAAUUGUUGGUACUAAUUAAUCAUCCUACCCUUUGUGAAUUUGUUUGUAUGAAUUUUUUUUAAAUGGGUCUUUCCCUAAGUUGGAUUGUUAGUAAAAUACAAAAAGACUUAGGGGAAUGACUUUUUUAAAAGACUUUUUUUUAAUUAAAACUUUUUGUAUUCAUUUGUCUAAAAUUUAUUUUUAUAAUAUAAAAACAACUUUUGACAAUGGAUCUCUUGGUUCUCGCAACGAUGAAGAACGCAGCAAAAUGCGAUAAGUAGUGUGAAUUGCAGAAUACGUGAAUCAUCGAAUCUUCGAACGCAUAUUGCACUUUUUAGUUUACUAAAAAAGUAUGUCUGUUUGAGUAUCAGUAAAUAUUCUCACAAACAUGUAUUGUUUGUGGUAUGAGUGUUUUACAACGAUAAACAAGUUGUUUCACUUUAAAUUCUUUUUAUAAGUUUUUACCAAUUCAUAAAUUAAAAUUGGAUAAAAUUUUCCUUUAACGAGGAAUAACCUAAACAAUUUUAAAUUUUAUGGAUUAAUUACAUUCAACAAAGGAAUCUAUACAACAAAUAACUUGAUCUCAAAUCAGAUAAGAGUACCCGCUGAACUUAAGCAUAUCAAUAAGCGGAGGAAAAGAAACUAACAAGGAUUCCCUUAGUAACGCGAGUGAAGCGGGAAGAGCUCAAAUUUGAAAUCUUCAAGGUUUGACCUUGACGAAUUGUAGUUUAUAGAAGUGUUUUCUGUUGGAGUUUUGGUAAAAGUUCUUUGGAAUAGGACAUCAUAGAGGGUGAGAAUCCCGUAUUUGACCAUGACUUUCCAGCUGUGUGAUACACUUUCAAAGAGUCGGAUUGUUUGGAAUGCAGUCCAAAAUGGGUGGUAAAUUUCAUCUAAAGCUAAAUAUUGGCGAGAGACCGAUAGCGAACAAGUACCGUGAGGGAAAGAUGAAAAGAACUUUGAAAAGAGAGUUAAACAGUACGUGAAAUUGUCAAAAGUGAAGCGUUUGACACCAGUGUUGUUUUCUCGAAAAUCAAUUUAAUGAGUUCUUGUUUUUAAGUUAUUGUGACUUUAUCAGCGCAUUUCUUAUUUUACUUGACUCAUUGAAUGCACUUUUCGUUUAACAAGUCAACAUCAAUUUCUUUGGUGGUAAAAAGUUUAAAGGAAGGUGGCUUGGACUUCGGUUCAAGUGUUUAUAGCCUUUUUUCUAUGCCAUCGGAGAGAUUGAGGUCUGCAGCGUAGAUCCUUCGGGGUUAGAUACCUUUGUGCUAAGUUAUAGUUUUUAUAGACAACUUGUUGACUAUAAUUAACCCUGUAAUUUACUCGCUUAGGCUAUUU
rnacentral:misc_RNA from 1 species